GACGAACGCUGGCGGCGUGCUUAACACAUGCAAGUCGAACGGAAAGGCCCUGCUUUUGUGGGGUGCUCGAGUGGCGAACGGGUGAGUAACACGUGAGUAACCUGCCCUUGACUUUGGGAUAACUUCAGGAAACUGGGGCUAAUACCGGAUAGGAGCUCCUGCUGCAUGGUGGGGGUUGGAAAGUUUCGGCGGUUGGGGAUGGACUCGCGGCUUAUCAGCUUGUUGGUGGGGUAGUGGCUUACCAAGGCUUUGACGGGUAGCCGGCCUGAGAGGGUGACCGGCCACAUUGGGACUGAGAUACGGCCCAGACUCCUACGGGAGGCAGCAGUGGGGAAUAUUGCACAAUGGGCGGAAGCCUGAUGCAGCAACGCCGCGUGCGGGAUGACGGCCUUCGGGUUGUAAACCGCUUUCGCCUGUGACGAAGCGUGAGUGACGGUAAUGGGUAAAGAAGCACCGGCUAACUACGUGCCAGCAGCCGCGGUGAUACGUAGGGUGCGAGCGUUGUCCGGAUUUAUUGGGCGUAAAGGGCUCGUAGGUGGUUGAUCGCGUCGGAAGUGUAAUCUUGGGGCUUAACCCUGAGCGUGCCUUCGAUACGGGUUGACUUGAGGAAGGUAGGGGAGAAUGGAAUUCCUGGUGGAGCGGUGGAAUGCGCAGAUAUCAGGAGGAACACCAGUGGCGAAGGCGGUUCUCUGGGCCUUUCCUGACGCUGAGGAGCGAAAGCGUGGGGAGCGAACAGGCUUAGAUACCCUGGUAGUCCACGCUGUAAACGGUGGGUACUAGGUGUGGGGUCCAUUCCACGGGUUCCGUGCCGUAGCUAACGCUUUAAGUACCCCGCCUGGGGAGUACGGCCGCAAGGCUAAAACUCAAAGGAAUUGACGGGGCCCCGCACAAGCGGCGGAGCAUGCGGAUUAAUUCGAUGCAACGCGUAGAACCUUACCUGGGUUUGACAUGGAUCGGGAGUGCUCAGAGAUGGGUGUGCCUCUUUUGGGGUCGGUUCACAGGUGGUGCAUGGCUGUCGUCAGCUCGUGUCGUGAGAUGUUGGGUUAAGUCCCGCAACGAGCGCAACCCUUGUUCACUGUUGCCAGCACGUUAUGGUGGGGACUCAGUGGAGACCGCCGGGGUCAACUCGGAGGAAGAUGGGGAUGACGUCAAGUCAUCAUGCCCCUUAUGUCCAGGGCUUCACGCAUGCUACAAUGGCUGGUACAGAGAGUGGCGAGCCUGUGAGGGUGAGCGAAUCUCGGAAAGCCGGUCUCAGUUCGGAUUGGGGUGUGCAACUCGACCUCAUGAAGUCGGAGUCGCUAGUAAUCGCAGAUCAGCAACGCUGCGGUGAAUACGUUCCCGGGGCU
rnacentral:rRNA from 1 species